UAAUCCUUAUCCUGGGCGGGGUCUAAUGAGGAUGUAGGGCCAAUCAGCGGCGGUGUUGCUUUUGCGGCUCCACGUCGGCACCAGCUGCGGGGCAAGAUGGAGGCGCUGAUUUUGGAACCCUCCCUGUAUACUGUCAAAGCCAUCCUGAUUCUGGACAAUGAUGGAGAUCGACUUUUUGCCAAGUACUAUGACGACACCUACCCCAGUGUCAAGGAGCAAAAGGCCUUUGAGAAGAACAUUUUCAACAAGACCCAUCGGACUGACAGUGAAAUCGCCCUCUUGGAAGGCCUGACAGUGGUAUACAAAAGCAGUAUCGAUCUCUAUUUCUAUGUGAUUGGCAGCUCCUAUGAAAAUGAGCUGAUGCUCAUGGCUGUUCUGAAUUGCCUCUUUGACUCAUUGAGCCAGAUGCUGAGCUCCCAAGUGAACCCAGUACAGACAGCCAUCCGCCAUCCGGAGCAGAACAGCAGGCGCUCUCAGCCCCACAAAAUCAGCAGGGCGAAUGGCUCAGAUUUCCUCAGGAAGGGGAUGAUUUAUUUCUUAGCCAGGAAGAAUGUAGAAAAACGAGCUCUGCUGGAGAACAUGGAGGGUCUCUUCUUGGCUGUGGAUGAAAUCGUAGAUGGAGGGGUGAUCCUAGAGAGUGAUCCCCAGCAAGUGGUACACCGGGUAGCACUAAGGGGUGAAGAUGUUCCGCUUACGGAGCAGACCGUGUCUCAGGUAUACCUCUUCUCUCUUCAUCCCCCCAGUGGAUUUGAAUUUUUUUGGAAUUUCCCAAACUGACAACCCUCUAGGGCCUUAGAGAGCUUCUUCCCAUCCCUCUACCCUUGGGGAUUUUCUAUUUGCCAUUCUUCUAAGGACAGGGAAGGUGCUGCAGUCAGCCAAAGAGCAGAUCAAGUGGUCACUCCUUCGGUGAAGACCUCACUGUUCCUGGCUCCUCACCCCCUCAGAAAAUCCACAUAUCUGCUGUGACUUCUCAUCCAGUCCCCCAACUGAUGCUCUC